GACGAACGCUGGCGGCGUGCUUAACACAUGCAAGUCGAACGGAAAGGCCCUGCUUGCAGGGUACUCGAGUGGCGAACGGGUGAGUAACACGUGGGUGAUCUGCCCUGCACUUCGGGAUAAGCUUGGGAAACUGGGUCUAAUACCGGAUAGGACCGCACUUUAGUGUGUGUGGUGGAAAGUUUUUUCGGUGUAGGAUGAGCUCGCGGCCUAUCAGCUUGUUGGUGGGGUAAUGGCCUACCAAGGCGGCGACGGGUAGCCGGCCUGAGAGGGUGUACGGCCACAUUGGGACUGAGAUACGGCCCAGACUCCGACGGGAGGCAGCAGUGGGGAAUAUUGCACAAAGGGCGCAAGCCUGAUGCAGCGAGGCCGCGUGGGGGAUGAAGGCCUUCGGGUUGUAAACUCCUUUCGCUAGGGACGAAGCUUUGUUGUGACGGUACCUAGAUAAGAAGCACCGGCUAACUACGUG
rnacentral:rRNA from 1 species